AACUCUCAACCUCAAUAUUUUUUGUUUUGAUAUUGAAGGCUUGGAUGUUGAGCGCUGCUGUUCUCUGACAGCUCGCUUUAAAUAUAUGAGCGAUCUCUUUACUACUCGGAUUGACUCGGCGUAAUAACAUUUUCGUCGAGGACGCUUUCACGAGCGGCCGAACAGUAUUAGGGUAGCUUCUAAACUGCCUAGCGCACUUGUAC
rnacentral:misc_RNA from 1 species